GUGGGGAAUAUUGCACAAUGGGCGAAAGCCUGAUGCAGCGACGCCGCGUGAGGGAUGACGGCCUUCGGGUUGUAAACCUCUUUCAGCAGGGAAGAAGCGAAAGUGACGGUACCUGCAGAAGAAGCGCCGGCUAACUACGUGCCAGCAGCCGCGGUAAUACGUAGGGCGCAAGCGUUGUCCGGAAUUAUUGGGCGUAAAGAGCUCGUAGGCGGUCUGUCGCGUCGGAUGUGAAAGCCCGGGGCUUAACCCCGGGUCUGCAUUCGAUACGGGCAGACUAGAGUGUGGUAGGGGAGAUCGGAAUUCCUGGUGUAGCGGUGAAAUGCGCAGAUAUCAGGAGGAACACCGGUGGCGAAGGCGGAUCUCUGGGCCAUUACUGACGCUGAGGAGCGAAAGCGUGGGGAGCGAACAGGAUUAGAUACCCUGGUAGUCCACGCCGUAAACGGUGGGCACUAGGUGUUGGCGACAUUCCACGUCGUCGGUGCCGCAGCUAACGCAUUAAGUGCCCCGCCUGGGGAGUACGGCCGCAAGGC
rnacentral:rRNA from 1 species